UACGGGGGGGCAAGCGUUGUUCGGAAUUACUGGGCGUAAAGCGUACGCAGGCGGCUUUGCAAGACAGGUGUGAAAUCCCCGGGCCUAACCUGGGAACUGCAUUUGUGACUGCAUAGCUAGAGUUUGUCAGAGGGGGGUGGAAUUCCACGUGUAGCAGUGAAAUGCGUAGAUAUGUGGGGGAACACCGAUGGCGAAGGCAGCCCCCUGGGAUGUGACUGACGCUCAUGUACGAAAGCGUGGGGAGCAAACAGG
rnacentral:rRNA from 1 species